GGAAGUAAAAGUCGUAAUAAGGUCUCCGUUGGUGAACCAGCGGAGGGAUCAUUACAGAGUUGCAAAACUCCCAAACCAUUGUGAACGUUACCUAUCCCGUUGCUUCGGCGGGCGGCCCGGGCCCCGCGCCCGGCGCCCCCCGGCCCCCCGUGGGCGCCCGCCGGAGGUAAACCAAACCCUUGGAUUGCAUGGCCUCUCUGAGUCUUCUGUACUGAAUAAGUCAAAACUUUCAACAACGGAUCUCUUGGUUCUG
rnacentral:misc_RNA from 1 species